CAACAGGACAUGAUCCACAUCGCCGACACGAAGGUCGCUCGUCGUUACGGAGAUUUCUUCAUCCGACAGAUCCACAAGUUUGAGGAGCUGAACAGGACUCUGAAGAAAUUGCCCGCCACCGGGACGACGACGACGGCGGCGGCGGCGUCAGGGGGCGCGACGAGCCGAUGAACGUGACUCGAAGACGACCCGGUGGACUCAGAACUCUUCAACUUUUCUAACUUACCAACAAUAAAAGGGUCGAGCUCCUUCA